rnacentral:rRNA from 1 species
UACGUAGGGGGCAAGCGUUGUCCGGAUUUAUUGGGCGUAAAGAGCGUGUAGGCGGCCAGGUAGGUCCGUUGUGAAAACUAGAGGCUUAACCUCUAGACGUCGAUGGAAACCAUCUGGCUAGAGUCCGGAAGAGGAGAGUGGAAUUCCUGGUGUAGCGGUGAAAUGCGCAGAUAUCAGGAAGAACGCCCGUGGCGAAGGCGGCUCUCUGGGACGGUACUGACGCUGAGACGCGAAAGCGUGGGGAGCGAACAGG